rnacentral:rRNA from 1 species
CGUAGGUGGCAAGCGUUGUCCGGAUUACUGGGCGUAAAGGAUGUGUAGGCGGAUAUUAAGUGAGAUGUGAAAUCCCCGGGCUUAACUUGGGGCGUGCAUUUCAAACUGGAUGUCUGGAGUGCAGGAGAGGAAGCAGAAUUCCUAGUGUAGCGGUGAAAUGCGUAGAGAUUAGGAAGAAUACCAGUGGCGAAGGCGGCUUUCUGGACUGUAACUGACGCUGAGGCAUGAAAGCGUGGGAGCAAACAGGAUU